rnacentral:rRNA from 1 species
GGUUUGAUUCUGGGCUUCAGAUUGAACGCUGGCGGGAUGCUUACACAUGCAAGUCGAACGGCAGCAUGGACUCUUCGGUCUGCGGUUACUCGGCGAACGCGCAGUAUCCAUCGGAACGCCUAGUAGCGGGGAUAACUACGCGAAAGCGUAGCUAAUACCGCCACGCCCUUCGGGGGAAAGCGGGGACCUUCGGGCCUCGCACUAUUAGAGCGGCCGAGUCAGAGUUCAGCUAGUUGGUGGGGUAACGGCUCACCAAGGCGACGAUCCGUAGCUGGUUUGAGGACGACCAGCCACACUGGGACUGAGACACGCUCCAGACUCCUACGGGAGGCAGCAGUGGGAAUUUUGGACAAUGGGGAAACCCUGAUCCAGCCAUCCCGCGUGUGCGAUGAAGGCCUUCGCUGUAAAGCACUUUUGGCAGGAAAGAACGGCACGGAUAAUUACUCACCGCACCGUCCACAUUCCAAUGCCGAAUAAGCACCGGCUAACUACGUGCCAGCAGCCGCGGUAAUACGUAGGGUGUAAGCGUUAAUCGGAAUCCGCCCACAUGCAAAGCGUGCGCAGUGCGGUUCGGAAAGAAAGAUGUGGAAAUCCCAGAGUCAACUUUGGAACUGCGUUUUUAACUACCGAGUUCCAGAGCCACACGAUGUGAACUCCGCACAUUGUCGAACGCGUCAGAUGAUACUGCGUCGGAUGAACACCGAUGGCCGUCAGCAGCCUGGGAUAACACUGACGCUCAUGCACGAAAGCGUGGGAGCAAACAGGAUUAGAUACUCCUGGUAGUCCAGUUCCCGCCAAACGAUGUCAACUAGCUGUUGGGGCCCGGGCCUGGUAGCGCAGCUAACGCGUGAAGUUGACCGCCUGGGGAGAUGACAAGAUCACAACCAUGAAUUGACGGGGACCCGCACAAGCGGUGGAUGAUGCUGAUUAAUUCAUAGCCCGCAACGCGAAACCUUACUCUUACCCUUGACAUGUCUGGAAUCCGAAGGAGAUUUGGGGGAGUGCUUCGCAAGAGAACCGGAACACAGGUACGUCGCGCCACGCCGCCCGGUCACGAAAUGAAGUAACAGUCCUUAACGAGCUUCACCCUUCAUCACCGUCAGCGGCUACCGACGACAACCACGCUGGCGACAACCGGAGGAAGGUGGGGGAUGACGUCAAGUCCUCAUGGCCCUUGCGGGUAGGGCUUCACAUUGUCCGUACAAUGGUCCACACAGAGUCAUCACCAACUCACCAGGAGUUCAUCCAGAAACCUUAUCCUCAUCCAGAUCGCUCCUGUAAUCGACUGUCACGUGAAGUCGGAAUCGGGCUAGUAAUCGCGGAUCAGCAUGUCGCGGUGAAUACGUUCCCGGUCUUGUACACACUGCCCGUCACACCAUGGGAGUGGGUUUUACCAGAAGCAGUUAGCCUUAACCGUAAGGAGGGCGAUUACCACGGUAGGAUUCAUGACUGGGGUGAAGUCGUAACACGUGUCCCACUGAUGCUCCUGAAGAUAUUAAUGCGCAUCC